rnacentral:rRNA from 1 species
GUCCACGCCCUAAACGAUGUCUACUAGUUGUCGGGUUUUAAUUAACUUGGUAACGCAGCUAACGCGUGAAGUAGACCGCCUGGGGAGUACGGUCGCAAGAUUAAAACUCAAAGGAAUUGACGGGGACCCGCACAAGCGGUGGAUGAUGUGGAUUAAUUCGAUGCAACGCGAAAAACCUUACCUACCCUUGACAUGGAUGGAAUCCCGGAGAGAUUUGGGAGUGCUCGAAAGAGAACCAUCACACAGGUGCUGCAUGGCUGUCGU